rnacentral:rRNA from 1 species
AUGAACACCCCUGCCUCAAGUACUCACCAUCAAGCACAGGCGAUACAUAGCUGGGAGAUCACGCUGGAGAUCACACAUGGUCACCAUGGAGGUCACAUGAGUUCAUCAACAUGUCAACCUCGCUUUCAUCACCUGGAGUCAUAUGGAAUGUUCAUAUGUGAACCAUCCAUCCAAUUAGCUACAAUGGUUCCUACAGCCAGUACCAUGAUAGCAUUGGAGCCAGGGGAGCAUGUGGGAACUUCAAAUGAAAAUCCUACAACACCUCAAGGAACACCGAGUGGUGCUGAAGAUAUUGCUUCCAAUGCAAGGCGAGAUAGCCUAACACCCGAGCAAAGAGAAGAAAUGAAUGCGUGUCGAAGAGCAUCUAGACAAAAUAAAACUAUUGAAGAUAGGAAUUCGAGCCAAAGCGCUGCCAGACAAAAUCUGACAACAAAGGAGAGGCAAGAGAUGAGCGCCCGUAGAAGGGCAGUGAGUAAAAAUAUACCAGUUGAGCAGAGGCAAGAGAUGAACGCCCGUCGAAGAGCACGCAGGCAGAGCAUACCACCAGAUGAGAGGAAGGCAUUGCGGGCUCAGCGAAACGCAGACCUCGCAGCUAAGCGGAAGACCCCAUACACUGAAUGCAUCGCAAUGCCUUGCCCAUAUGCAUAUCUCUAA